UACGAAGGGGGCUAGCGUUGCUCGGAAUCACUGGGCGUAAAGCGCACGUAGGCGGAUCUUUAAGUCAGGGGUGAAAUCCUGGAGCUCAACUCCAGAACUGCCUUUGAUACUGGGGAUCUCGAGUCCGGAAGAGGUGAGUGGAACUCCGAGUGUAGAGGUGAAAUUCGUAGAUAUUCGGAAGAACACCAGUGGCGAAGGCGGCUCACUGGUCCGGUACUGACGCUGAGGUGCGAAAGCUAGGGGAGCAAACAGG
rnacentral:rRNA from 1 species